rnacentral:rRNA from 1 species
UACGUAGGGGGCAAGCGUUGUCCGGAUUUAUUGGGCGUAAAGAGCGUGUAGGCGGCCGUGUAGGUCUGACGUGAAAUCUGGAGGCUCAACCUCCAGCUGUCGUUGGAAACCGCUCGGCUAGAGUCCGGAAGAGGAGAGUGGAAUUCCUGGUGUAGCGGUGAAAUGCGCAGAUAUCAGGAAGAACACCGAUGGCGAAAGCAGCUCUCUGGGACGGUACUGACGCUGAGGCGCGAAAGCGUGGGGAGCGAACAGG